GCCUCUCUAUAGCAGCACACAGAUAUUGGCAGUUUCCACCCUAAAUCUCUGCCAGUUCUGUUUGUGCUGCUUCAGAGCGCU
rnacentral:pre_miRNA from 1 species